CCCUUAGAUGUUCUGGGCCGCACGCGCGCUACACUGACGGAGGCAGCGAGCGUGUCCUUCGCCGGCAGGUGCGGGCAAUCUUGCGAGUCUCCGUCGUGCUGGGGAUAGAUGGUUGCAAUUGUCGAUCUUGAACGAGGAAUUCCUAGUAAGCGCGAGUCAUCAGCUCGCGCUGAUUACGUCCCUGCCCUUUGUACACACCGCCCGUCGCUACUACAGAGUGCCCGUGUCCAAGAAACGGUCGGACCUGUGCGGCCUCUCCGGGCGACCGGAGGGCCGUUACGGGGAAGACCCUUUAUUUGACGCGGGUCGAUGAAGUGAAAGUCGUAACA
rnacentral:rRNA from 1 species